UCUGGGAAAUGAUGUUAACAAAAGGCCGAAUUAUAGCGCCCCUGUCAGGCAGUGUGUUCUCAGCACGGGGGCGUAGUGACAAAAAACAGACUGAAGCGUUAAUCUGAUCCCAGG